CCAGGAGGUGGGAUUCCCUCAUCCCGACCUUCACGUAAACGAAACUUAUCAUACGAAGUAAGAAAAAAAAAACUUGAACAGAACAUGUCAGACAGUGACAACCCAAUGAAACAAACUCUGGUACGUCGGAUGCAUUUGGAAACUUGUAAAAAACAACUCUCCGGUCGGAAUUACUUUAAUACAACAAGUAAUUCCGACCGGAAGAGUAACAUGUGACUUGUAUGUUUUGUUUUCAUGGUGAGCUAGUGCAAAUGAAGAAGCCAACCUCAACACCUCCGUUCACACUAUUCAACUGUCUGCGUGGGGCACCAACCACUCGUUCCGUGGUUCGAUUAUCUGAAAUUUUCAUGCUCCCAAUAUUUUAAAUUGCUCACACGACACUAGUCAAUUGACUUUGGUCAAAAUAAACGUGAUGCAUGCACUCAACAAUGUCCUUGCUCAAAAUAAAUAAGAGGAUCGAUGCACACAAAAUAUAUGAAACCUAACUAGCACAUGCCACUGAUUUUGAAAGUUGCGUCAUCUUAUCAUUUGAAUGUUAUGGACCUGAAAAAUCUGAAAAGGGUUCGCUUACUUUCAUGCUGCUGCUACAGGAAACAUAAGAUUUUUUUUUCAAUGCAGAGUGGUGUCCUGAUACAAAGUUACAAAACAUCCAUCGAUCGAAAAAGCGCGGAAAUGGCGCACAAACCAACACACCAUCCAAUGGAUGCCCACACAAAAAAUCCCCGCCGCAUCGUAUCCUUCAUGCGUCAGGGACACCUGCUCCAUCAACCGUGCACCCUAGUCGUGCCCAUGCGGGAUCCUCGGCCUGCCAGCCCCAGAGCCUUGCACGAGAAGCCACCUUUUCCCCGAAGUUUAAACACUGCUCCCCAUCGCCACAUUCGUCUAUCAAAGCAUGUGUUGACGAGGGGUCGUUGCACCCAACCUCAGCUGGGCAGGAGGCUACUGGAGGAGGAGGAUGCCUACCCUCUUUCAAGGACAGGGUCUACUGCCACUGCGACGAGGAGGAGGAGGAGGAGGCCAAAAAGGAGGUCGCAGCUAGCUCUAGGUUUUUUUUCCCAAGCCGCCGGAGAUAGGCGGCAGGAGGGUCAGGCUUCAUUUUGCUUUGGUCGCUCAUUGCAAAUUUCAAAACAAACACAGGAUAUAAUCGAGUGAGUCCACAAUAUCAGUCCUAUUUGAUUGUAGGAUUUCCAUAACACAAAAAUUGAGCUUGACAACAAGUUUUCUACGGAAUUAGUAAAAACAAACAGACACGCAAUGCAACUGUUUUAUUGUGUCACAUGUCAAAUGUGGGACUUUUCAUGAGAAACAAAAAUGCAUGCCACACUUGUCAUGGACAUGAAUAAAAAAAUCAUAGACUAAUAGAAAAUUUGCUUUACGACUCCGAAGGGUCUAAUAGGAAAAUUCUUAAAAAAUAUCAAUCAUACAGAACAGUCGGGCUAUAUAAAAGCUUUUGGAAAGAUCAGAACUGCAAAUUUUGACCCUCAGGGUACCUUUGACACUUCUUAGUUCAACCAAAUGAACUAAAAUUUUAAAGUUACAUAACUUUUUGAAAAACUAGUUCAUUUGUUUGAACUAAGGAGGAUCAAAGGAUACCUGACGGUCAAAAAAUUGAAGCUCUAGGAAAGAUUGAAGCCUUGUUUUUUACUAAGAACGAUUGAAGCCCUUUGAAAUUGCUCUGAACUUGAACUCAGAGAGGCCCUUAAUUAAUCAACUUUUCGACUAGUUCCUGAAAUCACGCUUAACCAUUCUUUGUCUCAUGGUAUGAAUCUCCAUCCCAAUCAGAAGAACAAAAUAUCGGAGACGCAGAUGCUGCAAAGAUGUGUAGUAGUCCGCACAUGAUGCUGACAACAUAACGUUGGAGCAUUGAAUUCCUGCAGGUAAGUUUUUUUUUUUUUUGUUGUUGUUGAGGAAAGCAGGUAAGUAUUUACACCCGGGCCUUAAUUAGCGGUGCGGUUAUUUCCUACCAAAGCUGGACCUCACAAGAUUAAUCUUUCCAAGCUGGAUGCCGCCAGGUGGGGCUACCAAAGCGUCCACGGAACGUUUAAUUUACGUGGACGCAGGCAGCUCAGCCAGGUAGGCGACGCAGCCGCGAAACGCACUUCACGUUUUACGGUCCUUUUACCGAUUGUUACGGAAUCCAGUCAGCGAGCCAUCCAAAGCAGUCCAGAAAUACUCUCCUCCCUCCCCCCGUUGUGGUCAGUCACGGCCAAGGAAGCCGACGCCGAUUACGCCUCCUCCUCCUCCAAUUCUGAUCCCGGAUCUCAUCCCCAUCCCACCUCCCUCUCCCUGGCCUAUAUAAAAACGCGAGGCGGAGGCCGGCGCACGCCGCCAUUUGAACCCUUCUCCCUGAGUCCCUGACCCCGCCGCUUUUCCCUAUCCCUGGUCGUGCAGCGAGCGAAUUGCUGGAGUACUAGCUUUGGUUUGGUUUGUUUCCGCUUGCGCGAGGGAGCCGCACGCUCUUUGCAUGGCGGCGGAGGCCACAUCUUCGAUGGCCGCGGGGUUGUACGGCCGCCUCAACAGGAGCAGCACGCGCGGGUUCCUCGCCUACGUCGCCGCCGCGGGCGCCUGCGCCGCCGUCCUCGCCUGCUUCGUCGUCUCCUCCGCCGACCCGGCUGCCGCCUCCAAUGGCGCCCUCCGCCUGUCCUCGCGCUCGGCGCGCGUCUGGCCCGUAAGCUGUUCGCUCUUUGUCCCUCCUUCCCCGCAAGCACGCUCAUGUUGUGUUUGUUGGCUGCUCUGCCUGGUUCUGAGACAUCUCGGUUCGUCGUGCUCCAGGAUCUCGAAUUCAACUGGCGGUUGGUGGUGGCCACCAUCGUCGGGUUCCUCGGCUCGGCGUUCGGCACCGUCGGCGGCGUCGGGGGCGGCGGCAUCUUCGUGCCCCUGCUCAACCUCGUCCUCGGCUUCGACACCAAGUCCGCCGCGGCGCUCUCCAAAUGUAAGCUAGCUCUGCUCGAUCGUGUGAACCCGAUUCGUCUCAUAUGGAUUGAUUUCUCAUACGCCUCAAUUUUGUCUGUCUGGUCUACGCAGGCAUGAUCAUGGGGGCCUCGGCCUCGUCUGUGUGGUACAACCUGCAGGUGUCGCAUCCGACCAAGGAAGCGCCUGUCCUUGACUACAAACUCGCCCUACUCUUCCAGCCCAUGCUCAUGCUCGGUAUCACCAUCGGUGUCGAGCUGAGCGUGGUCUUCCCCUACUGGCUCAUCACCAUCCUCAUCAUAAUCCUAUUCGUAGGUCCGUCUGCUUGACGCAUGCAUGCAUGCUGCCAAAACGUAUUGUUAAGCAAGGCUGACACUUUUGUGCUGUCUCCUUUGUGUGUCUGGUGGGAUCACUGAGAUGGAUGUGUGUUUGGUGUGAUCAAUUUCUCGCAGGUACUUCUUCGCGAUCCUUCUACAAAGGGAUUCUCAUGUGGAGGGAAGAGACGAGGAUUCUGGUUAGUUCUGGUCACAAUGGGUCUCUUAUAUGUGUAAUUACCGUGCUAUGUCAAUCUCAUUUUUGUUCCCCUCUUUGAAAUGAUUGCAGAUGGAGACUCAGGAGCGAGAAGCACAAUCCAAGUCUUCCUCUGCUGUCAGCGAUGGUAUUUUUUAAAAUCCAAGACUUAGUCGAUAGUCAUUUUAUAUAGCUUUUUAACAUGUUGUUAUGAUCCAAUAUCUUCAGUGGUUCUUGGCACUAGUUAUGAAGAGCCCCUCCUGCCUCAGCCUAAGCCCACGGAGAAGUCUGGUCUGGUAAGCCACAAGUACCUGCCAUUUAUAUUGUCCGUUUCAAAGCAACUAUGACGCACAUGAUGAUUCAAAUUUGAACUAAAACCAUGACAAGAAUUUUAGGAUCGGAGAGAGUCCGUCCAAAGAAAACGAUAACAACCCAAAAGUACAGCUUGUCCUUGUGUGCCCUAAUCAUUGCUUUCCUGCUUCUUUUCCCAGGAGACUUUGCUGUUCAAUUUGAGGUGGAAGAAUAUUCUAGUGCUAAUGGCUGUUUGGUCAUCUUUCUUGUUCCUGCAAAUCCUCAAGGUCUCUAUCAUUCGUAGCAUCGUAACAGUUGUUCUGUACUAUUAAUCUUGUCCUUAUUCGAUUGUCUUUAGGCACUUAUCACUGGUUGGAUUUAGAAAGAACAGCAGGAAUGCACGUUGCAUAAGUUUGCAUAUGCUGACUGUAAAUAUGUGAUUCUAUUUUUCAGUGGCGCAGCAUGGCAACUUCUAUUUUGUUGACAUUGUCUCUUCAGCUUCGCAGAUAGGUUGGCUUAAUGUUGUGACUAACUGCUGUAAAUUUUCACUUCCAUGCAGAAUAACUCCAAAACAUGCAGCACUUUUUACUGGGUCAUCAAUAUUCUGCAGGUGAGAAAUCACCCUGCUGUCUGCCAUUACUUUAUCUAAACACUAUCAUGUGUUAGAGUGCUUUGAUCUAACCCAAUUAGAUCCCGCCUUUCCUAUCUCUAAAGUUGUUCACAGAAGCCUUGUGAUCAUUGUUCUGUUUAUGUUUUAGAAAGAAAAUAUCAUUGCCGUGGAUUGUGUAGCUCUUUUCAGAAGCUUUGGUUGGCCUACAUGUUUGGACCAUCCAUUGGCCACGUUUUGGCACCUCGCGCCAUCCACCAAACGUGAACUAUUCUUUUUGCUGCACAUUGUACAAAUUAGGCGCUUGCAUUGCAAACUUUCUCUGCAUCAUUACUAUCUAACCAUGUGUCGAUUGAUAUAGGUUCCUGCUGCAGUAAGUGUCUUCCUGUGGAAGGCUGUGCAACUGUGCAGGGAGAGCCGCGCCCGGCGCAUGAACGGUAACUUGGAGUGUGUCUGCGAGGCCUCCAUUGAGUGGUCACCAACACAGCUCGUCUUCUGUGCCUUUUGCGGUCUGCUGGGUGGUACAGUUGGCGGUCUUCUAGGGUCUGGAGGGGGCUUCAUCCUCGGCCCGCUUCUUCUUGAGCUCGGAUGCAUACCUCAGGUAUUUGAAUAAUUUUUUGUCUAAGCUUAUAUAUCUUGUUGUUAAUUUUUGAAUGUUUUCAGAUGCAAUCAUAUUGUCACGCAUUAUAUGAUUGCAUUGGAGCUAUUGGUACAUUGCAUACAUGUAGCACGUCAUAGCCUGUAACUAGCCUCCCAAAUAGGCAUAAAACAAGUCUCAUGGGCGGACAGACCAUGCUUGAUUCCAGAAAAUACUAAGGUGAAAGGAGCACUAGAUAUGUACUAUAGCUGAAUUUUUGUCUCAUUGCGACACAUUCUAGUCUGAGGCAAAUGGAUCUAGAAUAUGUGAACAAGACUGUAGGUAGCCAUAUCUUUUAUCAUCCCAAAUGAAGAGAAUUAGGAUCAAAACCAGAUUAUUCCUAACUUGAUUGCAAGACUUCCAGUAUAUAAGUUUUGGAGCAUCUUGUUAAUUUCCUAACUUGAUUACAUUGGGCUUGAAGCAUAGAAAGAUGAUAUAGGAGUUUACAUGACUUAGUUAUUUUAUUAUUAUUAAGGCCCGUGCUAUUGUCUUCUUUGUAUUUUUGUUAUGAAGGUUCAUUGGGUUUUGAUUCUAGCAUUUGGUUCCAUGCAAAACGCUCUGUACAAUCCAUGUUCCAAGCAGAGCCGUUAGAUAUUUAUCUGGGAGUUACUGGAGUUGGAGUAGCUUUUUAGCCUGCUCCACUGUACACGCUGCUAAGUGAUUUGCAUGUGCACAUGGGCUUGUAAAUAGACAUCCAAAAAGGAAUUGAUAAUAUUUUGGCUUGCUGUAGGGACUAGGGAGUCGUACUGAACCCCAUGUGGUAUUCAUUGUUUAGUGUCCUAUGUGUGACCCCUUGAUGGAUGUGUGAGGUCUCAAGGUCACAGUUUCCGUGUUCAUGUAAUUUUUCUUAGAUCUGGAUGGUUGUCAGCUUGCUGCAUGUCACAUACUGAUUAUUUAAGCUGAACUGGACAGCAAAAUUGAAUAGGGCAUGAACUGAGUUUUUGUCAGCUUCAGAAAACUUGAAUUUCUGUUUCCAACGUCAUUAAGUUUGCACUGAGUAGUCUAGAAUUUUUUUUUUAUGAAACAACACAGCGUUCCAUUAUAUUGCCAAGUACAACAACACACACACAAAAGAAGAUGGAAGCAAGUACGGGGGGGGGGGGGGGGUUGGAGAUUAUGUCUUUUUAUAUUGUUGGGAACUAGCACUGAAUACAACUAUAUGGUUUUGUGCCUGCCAGGUCGCGAGUGCAACAGCAACAUUUGUGAUGAUGUUCUCCUCAUCCCUCUCUGUGGUUGAGUUCUACUUCCUCCACAGGUUCCCAAUCCCUUACGGUAAAUCAAUGGCUAAUGAACUCUGUUCAUGAAUUUAACAAGCUCUAACCAGAGAAACUGUUUAAUAACAAGUUGCAUUUAUUUCCUCCUGCAGCUGCCUACCUAAUCUUCAUUUCCAUAUUGGCUGGAUUCUGGGGCCAAUGUUUGGUCCGGAAGAUCGUUCUUGUGCUCAAGAGAGCAUCGUUGAUUGUCUUCAUCCUCUCAUCCGUCAUCUUUGCAAGCGCUGUUACCAUGGGUAUUGACAAAACAACUCACUGAUAAUUACUUUACCUUCCAUUUAACAAAUCAUUCACUGCUGACCAGCCAACUAAAAUCUGCCAACAAAUGCACUAGUAAACAGUUGUCACAGCCUCACAGAUUUUCCUUAAAACUAUUAAACCAAAAUAUUCCAUUCACUAGGGUAGUGUUGUCGCGCUAGGAGUACAUUCAUCUUGGCAGUAACUUGCUGUAAGUAUGAUUCAGUAAGGCUAAAUGAGUUUUGACUGUAACGUUAAUCCUGCUUGCAAGGGAAAGCAACCAUAUUUUAUAGUUCUAAUAACAUCCGUUGCUUCCUCCAAAUCCAGGUGUUGUUGGGACCGAGAAGAGCAUUUCGAUGAUCAACAACCACGAAUACAUGGGGUUCCUCGGCUUCUGCGAGUAACCAAGUAUACCCGGGAGAAUCCAGGCCAAUACCUAAUUGACCUCUCCUCCCAAGGACAGUGGAAAUAAAAAUGCCGUGACGGGUGUCCCACGCGUUAGCUCCUCGCUAACGUGCAAAGCACCUGCCGGGCGAUUGAAAACGUAGCAGUGAAGUCUGUUAAUGUCAUGCACGCGUUAGCUCCUGGCUAACCCGCAUGUGGUCUUGUGGCGUCGUGUGAGACUGCGUGCUUUUUUUGUCAUGCAUGUGUUAGCUCCUGGCUAACCUGCAGAAAUGUGUUGGUUGUAGGGCUCUUCUUUGGUUUUUGUCCAUCCAUUCAUUCAUGCGCUAGUUAGCUCCUGGCUAGCUACCAUGCAAACUUUUACCAUAUUGGGUUUUGUAAAUAUAUCAGCCAAUUGUUGCGCUUUUGGAACUAUUAUUCUGCAGCAUUUCCAGCCGCUUCAGUCGUAUUGCUGCUCAUUUUGUCUUAUCAAAGUGGUUGAAUUAAUUCUCUCUGGUCCAGUAGGUUUGCUGAUCAGGAGUCACAAAUUAGUACCUGUAGUACUGCAGAGAGAUUGAGAGAGUAGUAUCAUUAGAUCGGGCGUGCGUGUUGAUCUUUGGUCAACCCUCACUUGCCAAAAGAAAAGGCAGGUAUUUUAAUUUAAUGCAACUUAAAGAACAAUGAACACAAUGAGUGUAGUUGGACGGUACCGGCAUACCAUCAAUGCUAGUGAGCUUGCACGUGCAACCCUCGUUUCAACAAUAUGUGACAUCUUGAAUUCUACCUUCUACCUUUUUUAUAUGGUGGCUUGUCUUUCUACAAUUUUUUUAUCUAUCUUACUUUUAAGCCAAAAUGCUAAAGUUGGGCCUCCAAAAAUGCUCACAUUUUCUUUAUAAAAUCAUCAAAUCUGAACCACGAUGACCUUUAAAAAAACAUAAACCAAAAACACUGAAGCCACGCUCUGCAACCCCACUCGGCGAUCCUCAGGCUUCUCACCAGGUGGAUAACAGUAGUGGAAUUAUGUCUAAAUCUUCUCAUUGCAGUACCCAUAUCCCCGAAGGCAAAAACUUGAUGAUUAAAACUGGAGCUUACUAAACUAAGAUACUGAGUCCCAAAGCCUAAUUCAAGAAAUAGGUUCAGUAUAAUUCAAUGGUGCUUCUGGAAGAAAUUCCCAACAUCAUGUUUAAGCCUAAAAGCUGCAUAUUAUACAAGUUUCUUUUCAUGGGAUUGGUGCCUUGUAGCAAGAAUAUUAUCUCUGUUUCCUGCAUAAUAUUCCCUGUUUCGCUAUCUGGUGUGUGACAAGCACAGGUCAUAGGGUCAACUCACCCCAGUGUAGUCACUGCAAAUGACAUGACAAAAUUUGAUGCAAACAUGAGAAUAUGUAUAUAUGAAUCAGGAACCUUCCAUCAGGCCCGAUCACACAGCAGGUGUUGAACAGCUGCCCUGAUCCUGAGCCUGAACCUUUCUCGGGUACGGAUCCACCUACGAUGGUGAUCUUCCUGGAAACCAUCACCUCUGACAGCAUCGAGAUCGACGGCGACCCUCCGCCGUCUAUGUUUUAUACGUACGAAACACAAAAUGAAGAAGCAGUAGCAUUACUCUAAACAAUCAGAAAUGCACCAUAUAUAGAGAAAAUAUGACUCAAGGUUCUUAGUUUACCUACCAUCUUUGAUUUAAUACAUCUCCUUCUGGAUGAUUUUCACUACCUGCGAGAAGAACAUGCAAAAUAAAGUGGGGGAAGCUAGAAAAGAGAGAAGUAAGAAAGCACCAGUACCCUGGUGAUCUGGGCCAGUUCAUAGUGUAAUAUCUUCUUUUGCAUCUACUGUUGGAGUGAGGAACCCCAAAAGCCGUAUGUAUAACUAUAUUCAAAAUAUUACUGGGCGAUGGAUAUCUAAUCGAGACAGAAGUCUAAAAGCACCAGAAAGACCAUAUGCAUAGUUUUGCUUCAGAUCUGAUAAAAGAGAGCCGGAAAUGUAAUGACAGGUUUAUCUUUCAUCUAAAAUAUAUAAUACACCUUCAGUAGAUAAUUUUACUACCUACUUAUUAAUUAAUUUCUUGCAUAUAUACUGUCCUCGAGCAGCUUGCAAAAUGAGAGCUUGCAGUUCAGCAAUAUAGCUGGUGAGUACAUGCAUCCAGUACAAAAUAAGAAUUCUCAGAGCAUCCGAUGACUAAGCCAACAACAUGUAUGGUAUACUAAGAAAGUGCCCUGUUAAUAACUCAAAGCUGGAUGCAGGGAGCUUUUGGUCGCCGUUCUGAUGACACAGCAGUGGAGGCAGAAACAUAAUUACCACCAACGAAAACCUGAUAAUGUUUCAUCUGAAUCACAGCAUUGGGUCUAAUUCAUUUAAAUAAUUCAUUGGUUUAGAAAUAACAAUCUGCACCAUAAGCUUGGCCAUUAUUUUAAAACAAGUUUUCUGAAGUAUAGUUGCUGAGACAAGGGACAUUCUGAGAUAUGAAUGGCGUGAAACUAAAAACCAUGGCAGCUCAGUGUUAAAAAAAACAAGGGAGGUGAUUUGGGUAUUUAGAUGGUUUUUUUUUGUAGAUAUGUGUAUAGAUUUAAUGUAUGGAAGAUCAAUAGAAUAGAGAGACUUGAAUCACCUUUUUCAGGUGUGCAUUUCAAUCACGGAAUGAACUUAGAAAUGCUAUGAGGAAGAAUCACAUUAGUUUAGUUCAGAUUCUUGAUGGAACAAUUGCCAUUAAAAAACUUGAUCAAACUUGAUCAAAUCUAUAAAAAAAAUACCCAUAAAAUUCUUGCAUAUCUUUGUAACAAUACACUAAUACCAAAUGAACAAACCUCAUUGCCUUCUACAGUGUACCUUACGGAAAGAAAUUUGGAUGAAACACAAAUACCUGGUGUGCGUAGAACGGUUUAUGUGCUAAUGUGGUAAGGUUUGAUCACCAUACACAUGAAGCAUCACCUGUGCAACAUCUCCAGCUCGCGCGUCCCCAUAUGGGUCGGCUCCGGCCGAGCGCCACCCAUCCUGCUACUCCGCGCGCUAGAGCAAGCCGAGGUUGAGAAAAUUGAAAGAGGCAGGCCUCGCCGGCCAGCCUGCUCCGCACGUGCCGCUCCAGCUCCAGCUCCCUCACGUACUGCCAGAAUCAAUUCAAGCAUUACCAGAACAGAAGCCAGAGAGAAGAAUCAGUUCUGAACUUAACUGAACUACAUCUGACAAAUGCUAAAUUAAGACCAGAACAGUAAUAUUCCUAGUAAUCCUAGUUAGUUGCACGGGAACCUGAAGAAAACUGCGCACACACUUUUUUUUGAAGGAACCUGGACACGUACCUAGGCAUAGUGAAUAAUAAAAUCUACAAUGAAUGAAUUACCCUAGAAUAAGAAUGAAAAGGAGUUGUUAAGUGUUAAGUGCUAGUGAAUUUGUGCAAAACCCACUUACAUUAUGGAAGUACCAAUCGAUGGUUAAAUUGGCCAAACUCGAUGGCCACACUUCUCGUGUCCUUUGCUUGGAAGAGGUAUUUUUCUCUCUGGUAGCACAGUAUAGUGAUGAGAUUACAUGCUUAUGCUGUUGAUAGAUGAUUCCUUGUGUUAUAUAUAUAUUCUCUGGCAACCAAAUUUUGAAUUAUAACCAUCCGAUCUGAUGGCAACCUAACCGCCAAAAAGUUAAACCAAAUUAGGACUGAAUGUUUUCAGUACACCCAAUCCAAUUUGUUGAAUCCAACGGCCUAACAAAUACUCCCUCCGUUCCACAAAGAUUGGCAUGGUUUUGAACUAUAGCUAGUUCAAAGUCAGGCCAAUCUUUAUGGAACGGAGGGAGUAAAUCAUCCAGCACAGAUUCUAAUCAAACAUCAAAGCACAUAACAAAAUUUGGGAAAAUUGAACACGAACUGGUUGCUAUGACAGAAAGAUUUACAACAUGGCAGAGCUUAAAACUGGUUGCUAUGAACAAAGAUCGAUCGGACAUCGGACCGCAUCAAAUUCGGAAUAUUAGCUUCAGAGUUAGUAACAACUUCAUGAUCAGCCUUAGAAAAAAGCACACCUGAUUUGUGGAAGAAAGAAUGGGAGAGUCAGGUCCAUUUUAUUUGCACUGCUUGUAUUGAUAAGAGCAUGAUGGUUGUCAAAUACCGAUGCUUUAAAUUUUCUAAAAUUGCACAAAUUCUGUCUCCCAGUCAAAAGCAUGUAAAUACCUAUUAACGAACAACUCCAAAAAGCUAGUACUUCCUAACUUAUGCAGCAUGCAAAGUAUACAAGAAACAGAGAAAGGAUCAAGCUAAUCAUCCUUCUUAUCCUAGUAUUGUUGCGUCAAUGUAAACUCUUCGGCCUGGAAAAGACCUACAGUGACGCAACACAAUGGAACAAUUCAUCUGACAUUGAAGCACUAACCUCAAACGCGGCGGCGUGAUGAGCAGCGCGCAGCGGCGUGGCGCCCGGGGGACGGAGGCCGCAGAAGGGUUACCGCGGCCAGGGCGUCGUGUCGCGCGAUGGGGCGUGUGGGGCAGGGCGGCAAUGGUAGCGUGACGCGACCACGGGUCGGGGCGUUGCGCGACGACAGCGGGGCGUUGUGUACUUGCAUCGGUUUGUUAAACCCAGACACACAGGCUUCACAAAAGGCGGAAACUAACACCACGAGUAGACAUCAGCAAAGCGCUAAAGACAUUAUCACUACUAAUAGUUGGCAUUUCAGCAGCAAAGCUUUAGAGCUGCCGAACAGGUAUAAUGAUCCUUCCAUACAAGCUUUCCCCAGAUCAUGAUGCACAUCAUGCCCUCUAGACAAUACAAAGCAGCUUCCUAUCAAACAUAUACAAAAAGGAGGGCAGCAAUUGAGGUAGUUUGCUUGCAUUGCAUCUCUUGGAAAUCCUACAAACUUACAGGUUGCACCAGAAGCAGCAAACAAGAGAAAGAGAGAUGGAGAGAGAGAGAGAGAGAGAGAUCCUGAUCUUCAUUCUGGGAGAACUUCACCUUCACCGAUCGCUGUGUUCAUGAUUUUUGUUGAUACAUCUAGGUCUUCUUUUUGAGUUCCGUCGACUUUAUUUUCCACCUGACUGGAGGAUGUGCCACUAUCUCCAUCCAUGGAUGUGACCUUCUGGGCAUCAGAUGAAACCAAAGCCACAGUCCCAUUUGGGGGAGAAUUCAGCUCAGCUGAUGCCAGAUCAGUGGAGAGCUGUGUCUGAUUGUCCAAUGCCACUGCUGAAUUUAUUUGCUGCUCAUGUUGACCUUUCAAAGAAGUUGAAUCACUUCUCUCUGAUCCAGUAUGGUUGCUGGUCAAAUUUACUAUAGCUGGCUCAGUCUGGCUUUCUGAGACCAUGCUGGGAGUGCUCGGAUUUGGAUUGGAAGAUGCAUUAGUUGAGGAGGCUCCAUAUUCCUCAAUAGGAUUGGUUCCAUUCACUCCAGGGCCUCGAAAUGUUAUUCCAUUUGAUAAAUUGGCGGUGCCUUCAAAUAUCCUAUCCAUGCUCUUCAGUUGUUCCUCUGGGAGAGGUUUUGUGAUUUGGGCAUCAUGGUCCACAGAACCUGAGACAUUAUCACCUCUAGAACUCUUCUCCCUGGCCUUGCGAGCUUCCUCCGCCUUGUGUUCAGGUUCCUGGUUUUCGUUAGAAACUGCAGAGGAAGCAUCAUCCACGUAUAAGAUUUUCUCCUGGGCAUGAUGGGUCAGCUCAUCUUGCUGCAAUGGAGUUUCAUGAGUAACAGCACUAGAUACAUCAUCACCAUGGAAACUCUUCUCUUGAUCCUCCUGAGACCGCUCCUUCCGUUCUUCGUCCUCAAACACACCCACACCAUCAGAUCCUUCAUCCUUAUCAGCAGAGUGCUCACCAGGCUCAGGAAGAUCAUCAUCCUUGUCCAGGUCUGGCUCAUCAAUGGGAUCGUCGUCAUGCUCGUCAUGCUUGAUUUCUUGCUCUAUCUCUUCAGUAUCUUCAUCCUCUAUCCGUUCAUCUAGUGUUGAUGAAUCGGCCUCCAUCUUUGCCGGCAGGCCCUUCCGGCCCAAUCUGACGAUAUCCCCCUGGCUCUGAUCAUCUUUACGCACGUCACUGGUGUCGUUAUUGGCAUCGUUUUCAGUAUAUGCCGCCUUCUUUUCGUACGAAUGCUUUACUUGGUAGAGCAACCAAACAGAGACGAUAACCAAAAGACUUAUCUGAAGAGCUUUCUUUAGCUUCAGACCUCUCGAUCUGUGGUUUCUGCUAGAGCUCUGCCUCAGCAUUAUUAGACUAUAGAGGUAACAGAACCACCUCUAAAAUCCAAAGUCUGGUCCUAAAUAUCUCCAGCCACCAGUUCAACACCUUGAAGCCUUCCUACAUGGAAAAAAUAGCAAUACAUAAGCAUCCGUUCUUGCUACCACGGGCGGAGGACCCAGUAGGGCAAGGUAGGGCGGCCGACCUACCUUGAUUUUUGCCUCAGUUACGGAUUGGGGAAGAUUAUGAAACGGGGAGCUAAAGGGCGGAACCCGUUCGUGGGGGUGACGGGAGGAGAAACGGUCGGGAGCGAGAGAAUCGAAGGGGAGAUCAACCUGCGGUGGAGGCGCUCGCGCGAGGAGGAAGACGAUGGGCGCUCGGCAGCGGGAUGGGUGGCGGCGCUCGGCCGAGGAGGAAGAAGAUCCAGGGAGCGAGGGGACUGGGUCGCUCGGCAGAGGGAGGGAGGGGGUAUAGUAGCCAACUACCGGCGAGGAGGGAGAGGGGCAGAGAGAGGAAGCAGUAAACCAGCUCGAUUACACAGUUACACGCAGUAAAUUAAAGUUUAGUCCACAGCGUAACCGAUUAAGCGCGCAAAAGCUCUCGUUGGUGCGAAAAUGCAUUGGUCAGACCUUGUUUGCUUAUUUGGUCAGGAUUAUUUGACUUUUGGUUUUUAAGCCAUAAAAGUAUCUAUUUAGAUGCUUUCAGCUUUAACUUUUGAUAUUUUAUUUGAUAUUUUUAGAUGAUGGUAUAAGCAAAAACCUAAAGUCAAAAUGACCUAAAUAGGAAAAUCAAGUGUUUUUUUGGCUUAUAAGCCAAAAGAAAAAAAAAACAGUUUUAACCCCAACCAAACAGGGCAUUAGACCCUAAGCAGCUACUUCAAGACUGAUUGAAAGAGCAUUUCUUUCCUAAGUGGUUUUGGUGGUGAUGACAACGUGUUGUGUGGACUAAUCGUGCGUUAAGUUUUUCAGAUUUGAUAUCAAAUGGUGCAAAACGAUUCGAUGCCCUCAAGAUUGGAAAAGAAGCGUAGUGGAGUUUAACGGCGUUUUCGUUUAUUGAGUCGUAGGAACUUCAUACUAUUAAGAGGAAAUCAACAUGGAAAGAUAAUUGGUGAAUCGCCUUUCACGUACACAAAUAUACAUCUUGCACCCACAUACAACCUACCCAAAAGUGAGAGAGAUCAAUUUUUUAGUCUAGCUGUUGUGCCCGUGUUUGCUCAUGUCCGAAAGUUCCGGUGGAGUUCCAGGCGACCGGAACUUCCACCCUACCUCUGGAUCAGCUCCGCGAUGCUACCGACUAGAGCAUGUUUUUCCAAAGAUUGGACCAGAGCUGGGCCGGAAUUUCCUGUGAUCGGCGGAAGUUCCGUCCUGGAACUCACAAUGCAUAACGUUUAGAUUUUGGGAAGUCCAUUUAAAUAACCUUUCGUCGCCAACGGGUAUCUUGCCCAAGCACGAAGCCAAGAACAACCCUCUCUCCCAAGAACUCCAUAAGAUUAAAUCUACUAGAUCUUCCUCCUUGUUGAUUUUUUGAGGAUUGGAGGAGAAGAGUUAGAUCUAGGGUUUCACCAAGUCACAAAGUUGAUUCCCCUUGUUUCUCUUGUGAAUUUUCAUUUCUCUUGGACAUUUUUGGGAGCCCUAGACGGAAACGGUUGCCUUGAGCUCUCCCUUGGUGUGAGGAGCUCGGGGAUUGGAUUGGGAUCCUCCAAUUGAGUAGUGGAGCUAGCCCCGGUCAAAAUUAUAAGGGUUCGGACUUUGCCCUCAAGGAAGCCACUAAGAGCAUGUUCAAUGCAAGAUACUUAGGGAGGUGCUUGCACAAAGAAAACCGGGUUUUGUCUAAAGCACUGGUGCUUGUGUUCUAUAUGACAUGUGCUUAAUUAAACACUUCUAGUGUAGAAAUAAGCACUGGUGCUUGAGAAUAAAUCGGUUUAAUUUUGUAGCACUACCUUAAGCACCUUGCAUUGAACAUGCUCUAAUGGAGCUCACCUCACCUUUGUAGUGUUGUGAGAGGAUAAUAGAGCGAGCCUUUGUGGCGUCUCUCUACUUUGUGGUAGAGCACUCCUCCAAACGGAGACGUACCUAUCCCAAUCGGUGGAACUCCGGUGAAAACGUUCGUCUCUCGUGUGGUAUCAUUUUCACCAUUUACAUUCUUGCUAUCUAUUGUUGCUUCGGCUAUCGCACUUCAUACUAGGGUUGCAUUCACUUUAGAGAAUUUAGUAAAUCUUAGGAUUAAGUGUUUAUAUCAGAUUCGGGAGCUGUGUGGACACGGAUUUAAACUCAAUAACAAAUACAUAAUAUGUGUUCGAAUAUAUCGUAAACGGUUAUGAUACUGUAGCAGAGCGAUGUCGGACCAGAAAAGAACAAUAAUAAAUGUACAUUACGCGCAUAAAGGAGACACAAAUAAUACUUUGAGAAUAUCCGUUCACUAUUGUCCGUUUCUGGUGGCUAUACACACAUCUAACUCACACGAGAUUUUGCACAUAACCCCCUAUCAUUGAGUUUAAAGUGGUUGGUGGAACUUUUUCAUGAGCCGUGCAUCUUUUAUCCAACGACUUGUACGCUAAAAGUUUACACGUUUACACAGAACGAGGAUUCUUCGGUUUGUAGUUAGAUUGAAUAAACCAGGCUCCCAACAAAUUUAUGUGCACGUGGUCGACGAAUUAACCCGGCGGACUAGAUGGGAAUUGAAUUUUGUUCCCCAAAUCACCUUCUAGAAUGUUUUCCUUCUUUCUCUGUCGAGUUCAAUCUGCCAGCAGCUCUGACCUUUUGGACGAUCGGAGAGGAGAUCAAUCAACAUUCCACUCGUGCUUUCUUCAUAUCAGCACUACUCCGUACCAUAGAUCGACGUGGGUGCAACUUCUCUCGACCUAGCUACCAACACAUGCUCUCAUAUCUAGUCCAGGGGAGUUCAACCUUACAAAGAGGUGUUACACGCACUCACACUGUUAGGCGCAGGGUAGGUCGAUCCGUGGCAAGGAAUUUCCUGGUUUAUUCCCAUGCUCGCUAGGUGUACUACAUUUGGUUAUAUCCUGUUCCAGACAUGCACGAUGUAACUGGUCACCGGAAAUUUCUGGAAAAAAAGGAAAUUACAUGCCACUUUUUGUCUAAGCGAGUAAUAGUUUUUUGACAAACAUCCGGUGAUUCAUCGACGGAAGAAUUCAAGAAUCAGUUGAUUGAAAACUCCAAGGCACACCGGUCGUCGACGGAAGAAUUCAGGAAUCAGUUGAUUGAAAACUCCAAGGGCACUGUUUUGGCAACCAGGAAUAAAAGCUGGCUCCCUUUAAAAAAAAAGCUGGCAUCGAUCGGUCGCAUCGUCAUUGAAUAGCACUGGCCUAGGGCUAAUGCCAUACUACCAGAAGACAGGCAUGUCUGCACCGUAAUUAAGGACCAGCACGUAGUGCACUAUGGCCAGUGGGGCAGUGGCCGGGUCUUCUUGGUCGACAUAUCGGCGCCACCGAAGCUCAAAAACUGACCAACCAUUUCCUUUUUUUUUCCCUGGGAAGUGACCAACCAUUUCUACACAUAUGACGAUUUGGCAUCUUGAAUGGUUUGAACGGUGGUUGAUAUUAAUUUUUCUUUUCUUUCUAAUAUGUUUUUUUCAUGAAUCCACGUGUCAUCUUCUUUCUUUGUAGUCUUGGUACCCGUGUAGUACCUGUUACUUCUUCAAGUAACCACUACUUAGUUUUAGUAUUCAUCUCCUUUCUCAUUGGUCACUAACUAUUUCUUGAUACCCGUGAAGUACCCCUUAUCGAGGAUGCCCUUAGGCUGGUCAUAGUGGGGAGUAACAUGAGCCAGUAACAUGCAUACGUUACUAGUAUAUGUUAUUACUUCAAUAGUGGGUAGUAACAUAUUUGUGGUAACAUAGAAACCUCAUUUAUUAGUUCUAUAGACUCAUUGUAUUUUAGGAAAUGUGAUGUGAUAGUACCCAGUUACCUCAACCCUCUCUUUCAUCGUUAAUAACAUGACACAUCACCAAAAUUGUUUUAGUUGCCACAUGCGUUACUCUCGCUAGUAUUAAUGCAUCAGGCGCCGUCUUGGUUUCACGUGGCUAGUGGCUACUAUUCACAAGCAACGACAUGCAUCGUCGUCGUGACCUGUUGCGGUGUUGCUAUAAAAAAGUUAUAUUGAUUUUUAGCCAGAGAUCUCGAUCGUAUAAGCUUUACGUGGCGUUACGUGGACAGAGUAUAUUUUCUUUUCCGAAUAUAUAUCACGGCACGUCUCCUAUUUAUUCCGCGAAAGCGUUCCAUCGAUACAUGCAUCAACGUGUAGUGGAGUAAAAUAUUGCACUCUUAGCUAUCUAGCGUGGUCAAAGUUUGGCUCUUCCAUGUGAAACGGAUAAAGAUGGAUGAGACCGGCCUGAUCCUUGCUGGAUCGCCCGGUGCAGAUAUUUGAUCGUGACGGCGAAGGGUCAACUCCCAACCGAGAGAAAGGAAAACUUUAAUUUCGUCAGUGCCCAUAAUCCAAACAUCACGGCACUGGUUUAUAAUUUAGAACAGCCGGAACAGAACACCUUUUUUUGGUGGGUGGGGAGAUGGGGGAGAAAUCAUUGCACUCGUUCUUUUUAUUUUAGGAAGAGAGAAAUCACAACAGCCUUGGUUGAAAUGUUGGGCCGUUCUCCUUGAUUUGCAGCUCACAGUAUUCCCGUCCUUUUAUAAACAGCCCGAAGUUCGCGAAGCCCAUCAUACGUAGAAGACGAUUCGAUUCAGCCCAUGGAUCGGACGGGACGUUACCGGGCCGCUUCCGUCACCCAUCAAUCAAAAGGAAAAAAAAAGUCGUUACCGGGCCGUGGCACGGGGGACGUUUACGACGAAGACGGCAAACAGCCGCGCCACGUGUCAUCGCCCCACGGGACGCACGCGCGGAGGCGGCUGCAUGCAGGGACGCAAACGCAACGCGCGACCCCACCCACCAGAAGCGGGGCGAUCGAUCGCGCGGUUGCCCUCCGCCCUAAUCCCCCACACCGGCGCGCCGCCGCCCGUACGCCGUCGUCCAGGGGCACCGCCGGCCACCGGCGCGUCCUUCCUCGCCAUCCACGGCACCGAUCCAGGUAACACACACCAUCUCCUUGCUGGAUCUGGUAAUUCAUUAAUUAAUCCGGCCCCGGCCCAUGCGUAUACGUCUUGCAUGGAUCGCUCUCGCGCAGGCAGAGCCAUCUCCUUCCUCUCCGGCCGAUUGCAUUGCGUUCAAUUUAGGAAAGUAUAUAUCUCUGUGGCUACAUAAUUCAUUUCCAUAUCUCUGUGGCUACAUAAUUCAUUUCCAUAUCUCUGUGUCAAACCGUAUCAUAUACUCCGUAUUUGAUAGAGAUCGUUCCUAGGUCGGGUACGUCAUCAAUGCGAUUUGCCAGCAACAUUAUUUAUCAAUAUAUGCUCACAAGCACUCUCAUACGUACGCUGUAGACAUUAAGGGAAAUUAAUUGCAUAUAUUUUACUGAUUUAUCAUGGAUGUGGUUUUUUUUAUCGAUCUUAUGGAUGAAUUUUUGGAUGCAGUUCUUUCAUGGGUACAUGGUCAGGUAAAAUAGGCAGCAGGGGAUGGAAUUUUCUGCCCUUCUGACCUCGGCGGGCAUAAACAUCGCCUUCUGCGCGCUGUUCCUGUCGCUCUACUCCAUCCUCCGCAAGCAGCCGCACAACUACAGCGUCUACUUCGGCAGGCGGCUCGCCGAGGAGAAGUUCAGGCAGCAGGUCGACUACUUCUCCUUCGAGAGGCUCCUGCCCACCGCCGGAUGGAUCGUCAAGGCUUACUGGUGCACCGAGGAGGAGAUCCGGCGGGUCGCCGGACUCGACUCCGUCGUCUUCCUACGCCUCUUCAUCUUCAGGUUUCUGUUCUCAAUUCUGAACUCUAAUUCCCACUGCUAUAGCUUCUGUAGUUAAUCACUUAAUCUACGUGCGUGCUGCAUGUUUUAAAUGCAGCAUACGCAUCUUCUCCAUUACCUGCCUUGUUUGCCUCUUUGGAGUGCUCCCUGUCAACUACCAUGGCCAAGAAAUGAACCACACAUAUAUUCCAGAGGAGUCGCUGAAUGUUUUCACCAUUGCCAAUAUGAAGGAAGGAUCAGCAAUGUAAGUUCUUCAUACUUAAUUGUCUUCAUCAGUAAAUGUACUGCAAUGUUUUUUUUUCAGUUUUUUAGUAGUAAGUGCAAGUUCUUACUACUAAAAAAUGUUUUUCUUUGUGCAGGCUCUGGGUCCAUUGCGUUGCUCUAUAUGUUAUAACCAUCUCGGCCUGUGUUCUUCUUUUCCAUGUAAGACCUGCAUGCCCACAAUGUUCAUGUUACCAAAGAUUCUUACCUAAAAGUUCCACCAAGUUCAAAGCAACCACAUAUAUUUUGCAGCUGACUGUAAACUAUUACGUCGCAGGAGUACAAGUAUAUCGCGAGAAAAAGAUUAGCGCAUGUUACUGGAUCACCGCCAAACCCUGGACAUUUUUCGGUGCUUGUUCGUUCGAUUCCAAAGUCAGGCAACGAGCUGCUUGAUGACACUAUCAGAAAUUUCUUUGUUAACUAUCAUGGAUCCAGUUACUUGUCACAUCAGAUGAUCUAUCGAAAAGGAAAUCUGCAGCAAUUUGUGGUGAAAAUUCAUUCCACCAACAAUAGAUGUCUUUCAAAACUCAAACUAUUUUGUAAUGAGUUAGGUCUUAUGAAAUUUAUCUGAACUAGUAGUUUAUUUUGAGGAACGUUAAUUUUGUUUUUGAGGAAAGUUAAUUUUUUUAGGAACGAUUUGAACUAGUUUAUGGUGUUGAUGGUUUCUGCAUUUCAAAAUGGUUGAAUUUCUCUGUUGCAGUUCACACUUCAGACUUCAGAGUUUUUAUUAAAAAUAUCGAAACCGAGACAAUUUACACUUCAGACAUAAGCGUUAGUUUAGUUCAAUACUUUGGGUCACUAAAAAUUCAGGUUAACAUCAAGUAGGUCCAUAUGUGCAAAUAUUUUACUGACUGCAGAGGUCGUUUCUUAGGCUUCUAAGUUUGUUUCUGCAGGAUAAUGCAGAGAGGGCAUAUAGGAAAUUCGUGAGGGUAAAACUUUCAGUGUUCGACCAGAAUGUGCGGUCCAACUUGAACAGAUGUGGUCUCUGCGGCGUACGAGCCUCCUCGUUCCAGCUCUACCGCAAUAAGUUUGUUGAUGCCAAGAAGUCAGACCUCAGUGAUCCGGAAGUAGUUGAAGCUCAAAAGGUAAUCAUCUUCCUCCUGAUCGAUCUCAUUCGCAUUUUUAACGAAAAACAGUCAGGAACAUACCAUUAAUUUUACUGUGCCCAAGAGCACCAGAGAAACACUCUCACAGACAAAUCACAUUGCUAGAAAAACAUAUAUUGUUGCAUACCAAGAUAGCUCCGAUUUCUGUAUGUCGCAUCAUCGGCAUAAUAAAACCUCGUGAUCAUGUUGCCGUUGGAUGGAGCAGGACUGUCCAGGCGCCAUAGUGUUCUUCAAGACCCGGUAUGCGGCGAUCGUGGCCUCGCAGGUGCUCCAGUCCUCGAACCCCAUGCUGUGGGUGACCAACCUUGCCCCGGAACCGCGUGACGUGUACUGGUCCAACCUGUGGGUCCCCUACAGGCAGAUCUGGCUCCGGAAGAUCGCCACGCUGGCGGCCAGCGUGGCCUUCAUGUUCGUCUUCAUCGUCCCCGUUGCCUUCGUCCAGAGUAUGAUGCAGCUGGACCAGCUCAAGGAGAUGUUCCCAAACCUCAAAGGCGCACUCAAGAUGUAAGUUCAUUGAGUUCAGGUUUGCAUGCAGCUGAGCUUAUAGCUUCUUCUUGCCUGACUGACGACCUUAAUCUUUGUUCAAAUCCAGGUCGUUCUGCGUGAGAGUCGUAACGGGGUACCUCCCUAGCGUCGUCCUGCUGCUGUCCCUGUACACGGUUCCUCCGCUGAUGAUGCGCUUCUCGUCGUUCGAAGGCUCCAUCUCUCGCAGCGGGAGGAAGACGAGCGCCUGCACCAAGAUCCUCUUCUUCAACAUCUGGAACGUCUUCUUCGUCAACGUGCUGUCAGGGUCCGUGCUCAACCAGCUCAACGUCUUGACUAGGCCCAAGGACAUGCCGUCUAUGCUUGCUGAACUGGUGCCGAAGCAGGUGCGAAAUGCCUAAUUUAUCGUAGAAUUAUUUAUUCGCCCCUUGGGUUUUGGACGAAAAAGAAGGAUAAUACCUGACUGAUUAAUUGUUUUGUGCAUCAAUCAGGCGACAUUCUUCAUCACGUACGUGCUGACAUCAGGCUGGGCGAGCCUGUGCUCCGAGAUACUGCAGGUGUACAACCUGGUGUACAACUUCUUCAGGAAAUGCGUAUUCUGUCACCAGGACAACCCAGAAUACGCCUACUCUUUCCCUUACCAGACCGAGGUCCCAAAGGUCCUCCUCUUCAACCUGCUGGGCUUCGCCUUCGCCAUCAUGGCGCCGCUCAUCCUGCCCUUCUUGCUCGUCUACUUCUGCCUCGGCUACUUGGUGUACCGCAAUCAGGUGACUGACCGGCCGGCCGGCCUUGUCGUUUUUCGCUUGACAUAUCAACACUGUAGUUGAUUGGAUAUUGACUGAGAACUGUUGUUGUUGCUGCAGAUCCUGAACGUGUACUACCCCAAGUACGAAAUGGGAGGGAAGCUGUGGCCGGUGAUGCACAACACGAUAGUGUUCUCCCUGGUUCUCAUGCAGGUGAUAGCGCUGGGCGUGUUCACCAUCAAGAAGUCCCCCGUGGCCACCGGCUUCACCAUCCUGCUCCUCAUCGGCACCAUCCUCUACAGCGAGUACUGCCGGCAGCGCUUCUCCCGCAUCUUCCACUCCUACUCCGCCCAGGUACGUGCAUAAACAGAGCAAUCUUUCUUUCUUUCUUUUUCUAGAAAUUAGUACCAACUUUGGACUGACUUUAUUUUUGGUUUGCAUGUUCUUGACGGUGUUACGUACGUGUAGGACCUUAUAGAGCUGGACAGAGACGACGAGCAGUCCGGGAGGAUGCAGGACAUCCACCAGCACCUGCUGGACGCCUACUGCCAGACGCCCCCAGGGACCGGCGGCGGCGACAACGGCCAAGUCCCGAUCGAGAUGAUCAUGGAGGACCCGGCGCAGGAGGUGUCGGAUUCCAGCCAGGAGCUGUGCGACACGGUGCAGGAGGUGUCAGAUUCCAUCCAGGAGCACAUCGACGACAAGUGAAGUCAAGAAACGGAAAUACUGAUAACUGUAUCCUGUGUGUCGUUCCGGCGUCUUGAAUCAUACCGUAGAGUUAGCCCGGCCGAGAACGUAGUAGCCUCCUCUUGCCCGUCUCCAGGUAUAUUAACGAUUUGUACUGUCCUGCCGCCGCCAUUCCGACGCAUCGUCGGGAGGUGCUGGCAGGUACAGGUUUGUUUGGAAUUUGGAGGGAGCUAACUGUGUAGAAUAGAAAAUGGUUAAAGCUGUCACGGCCGAUGGCAAGCUAACACGUACGAACUUUUAUGUCCCCGUUCCCCUCUCAACUCAUUUUUAGACAUGCCAAGGAUUUUCUUUUUCUGGGGAAACCGAGAAUAUGCUGCAACUCAAGAAUGGUCGGCUCGUUUGCUCGUGCCCUGUUGGCUAGUUUAUGCAGGGUCAGUUCUUUUCGGUUUUCUAAACUGGCUUCUCCUCUCCCUCAGUUUUCUUGGAGAAGUCACCACCUAAAUUUCAUUAGACUACCAAAUUAGUUUGGUCUAAACUACUUUGAAAACCUAAGUAAAUGUGAGAUGCGGCUUCUCCAGGAAACUAGGUGAAGGCAGCUUUCAGGAGAAGCCGGUUCUAAAAGUUGAAAAGAACGCACCCUUAGUAUCAGUUGAUUGAUAUUUCUCGGUCGAUUGAUUUUGAAAAAAUAAAUUAAAUAUCAGUUGAUGUAUCAAAAUCGAAUUAAAUAUCAGUUGAUGUAUCAAAAUCGUUGAAUUAAGAUUUGAAGGCCAUCAUUACUCUCUCACCUCCCACGUUCUAUUGUUGAAUCAUUAUAGUACGUCGGCUGAUCUCUGACUAAAACCAAGUAACUUCUUAAUAUCAAAACAGAUUUAGUAAACAAUACAAAAACAUUUAAACCUACAUUCAGAAAACAUAACUCCCGUCUCCUGGUCAGGUCUCAUCAUCAACCAGCCUUGCGAGGCCGAGCCCAUUUAUCGUUAGGCGGCAAAUCUUUUUUAGGCAAUCACCGGGUGAUAUUAAGUGUCAAUACACUAACACUAGAGGUGCAAAAGGGAUAAUUAGGAUACCCUAACCCUUCUUAGUUCAAACAAAUGAACUAGUUGUUCAAAAAUAAAUGAUGCGAUUUUAAAAUUUUAGUUCAUUUGGUUAAACAGGUACAAUCAGGGUACCUUUUUGCACUUUUAACUAUAACCAUCUUUUCUUAGUUGAGAGUCGGUUUUAUUUUGUCUUCUCUUCAUCUUUUCUAGGCCACCAAUUAUUCAAUCAAGAGCCAGCUAAUUAACACUUUUAUAGAUGCCCUAACUUGGGCGAGCAAAAUUUAUUCGAGAAUGAACAGAUGAGUUAGCAAAUGCAAAAUUAAUAAUUACAAUUCGACUCAGUCCUCGCUGCUUUACCGCAACUACUGAUGCCCAACUCUACCACAGAUGAGCUGAUCGGUCUCCUGACAUGCACAUUUGUACACACAGUGAAUGCGAGACAACAUACUGACAAAGAGAAGGGGUCUCAAGUUUUCACCCCUCGCCCGACGUAUAGCUUGGUCGUCUCUUGUAUUCCUUCUGAUCUAGGCUCAGCAGAAAAUCGGUGAAAACGUGCUCAUAUCCAGGCAUUUUACCAUACCCUGCAAGCAAAAAAAGAUUGAUCAAAGGAAGCUCACUUAUGUAAGGGUAUACAUAAAAUUGUUUUUGGAGUUGUUGAGAACUAGCAUAGCAGAAAAUGGAAAAAUGUGUUGUGGGUUCAUGGCAAAUUAGCUAUGAAACAAGAGCCUCUCCCAACGGUGCAAGCAAUCCUAAGUUCUAUGUGCAAGGUUUUGGAUUUCUUUAAAGUCCAACUGGUUCUAACACUAGAUAAUAUGAAAAAAAUGCCGCAAUCUUUUCCUCAUUCAGCACCUAGCCGAACUAUGCUCACACAGUAGCUGGCAUGCGAGUGUAACCAUCUCAUUUGGUGGUGUAUCCAAGACAGGUCAUGUCUUGAGGAUGCCUAAAUUAGUAAAUUUAGGAUUUGGCAACCAAAAGUACAAUUUUGACUAUUCAAAAUGUUCUCAAAGUACUAUUAUUUAUAGAAAAUCCAAGAGCUACCAUCGGAAAACUAUAAGCAUAAGGCAGCAGAAUGUAAUGGCAAGACAAAUUAGAUACUCUUGAAACAAGUUAGAUCACAUACCAGGAAAAUAGUUCAUGUCUAUGACAUAAAAUCGAUCUCUUGUCCCAUGCUCCCUGAUCAUAUCAAUGUUGAACAACCUAAGACCCUGUCAAUCAGGCAAAAGAUGAUAUUAAUUAUACGGUAGCAUCAAAUCACGCAGAACAAACAAUUGCAAGAAUCUCUGGUACCAGUCGGCGCCGCAGCUCUCUUGCCAAUAUCUCGAGCAGUGGUCUUGGAGGAAGUUCUGAUGGAGUAUGUAAAAGCAUCAGCUGGUAAAUACUUCUUUCUAAUAUCAAUACCAAAUGGAACCAAAUAUAGUAAGGCUAGAGAAACCGCGACAUGGAAGUUUACCAGCAAUAUGAGGGUCAAGAUCUGCAUCAUCCGCAUUAGCUGCAGCACAAGAGACCCUUGGAAACCGGAACACUCCGGCAUUAUUUGAUAGAUCACCUUCAUCUACAUUAGGCAGCGAAAACCUGCGAACAACCCUAAUUGCAUCCCCGACAAUGUAGACUUUAAAUAAUACACCACCUAUAAAUGCCAGAAACAGAAGGUUAUUCUAGAAUUUUUAUUUCUGUACUAACAAAGGUUAAUCUAGAUUUGGAAAAAAACUCCAAGGCCAGAAAAAUCAAACAAAGUACCGUGGUUAACAAAUUCCUGAAGAACUAAAGGGGGUUCAAGCUUCGUCAAGGAAGUUGGGUCAUAAGCGAGAGAUAACUCAUGAGACUUCGCCACCAGAGGCUUUGCCACUGCACAAAGCAUAUCAGGUUAACAGGCAAUACAUGGACAACCAAUCUGCUUGGAGCCUCAAAACAAAAUUCAGUAAUGCCACUAAUUAAAUACUCCACUAGAGUUAGCCAGACACACAAAGCAAGCAUAGAGUUCUUUUGAACUCAUUCCAAGCAACAAUGUCACACGCUCACCAUUAUCUGAAAUAUGCCUAGUUUAUAUUUCAUCAGAACAGGAAGCACUCAAAUCAAGUAUAGAAACAUCCUAGACUCCUUGAAAUGAUCAAGUCGACAAGUCAUACACAAAGCGUGACGAUGUAUAAUUCGACACAUGUGCCAUCAGUUUUCUUCAAUUUACUUUUAGGUUUCAUGGAUAAGACCAACUUUUAUCCAUUUAGUUUACCGUGGAGAAUGGCUUUGUAUCUUUCAAGCUAUAUCCAACCUGCUACCUACCCGUCUAAUGUACAGACUACAGGACUAUGUACCACAAUUAACAGGACACUUGUAUGGACAGAUGAACCAUGCAAGGAAAUGGAGUAAAAAUGCUGGAAGAUGCACAACUGCUCUGCAGGUACACAAUAUUCACAGAAGUCAAGUGGACAAAAAUGCCCAUUCAUCUGAGGAACAUGGUGAUGGUAACUCGAAUUUUGUUUCUACAGAUACAUAGUGCCUUAACAUAGCUGAAAAGCGAGAGACCACCCCCACUCAGUUAAAAAGAGAGAACAACAUUGCAAAUAUAAAAAUUCUCAGCAGAUUCAAUAAGAAUUGCAAGUCUGGUUAUAAUGUUAGACUCUAGUUUUCCAGGGAAAAAGCCGCUGGAUGCAAAAAUGGGUACGGUGAACAGUGGUGAACAGCUAAUAAGUAGACUUGCCUAAUGGAAGAGAUAACCCAGCCCGCAUAACUGCAGCUGGUAUUGAUGAUGGAUCUGUGUUAACGAAUAGCUGCUUGGGAACACCAACUUUACCUGCAAAAUGCAACUGCACUAUAGUGAUCAAAUCAGCCUUGAGAAGGUUCCAAGAACCAACACAUCGUAUCAAACCUCCUAGCAGUGGAGAAAAUUCUAUGUACAAGCAGAUGACAAGAAUUUGGUACCAAUAUAUGUGUGCAAAGACAAAAGAGAGACAAUUACAAAAUCACAAGCUUCCAGCACAUUAGGUAACAUCGAUCAACAAAUGUAAUUAUGUAGUUCCUUCAAAUUUCAAAGGGGUCAAGUUGAGAAGAAAUAUGAUGGUUCAGGCGACAAAAUAAAAGGCGCAUGCCAAAGAUACAACAGUAAAGUGUGAAAGUGCCCAAUACGCUAUCCAACAUUUGGCAAAGCAUAACACAUGCUCUCAUAUUCAUAGAACUAACUGAACUAGCAUUUGCACAGAUGUGAAUAUGAGAUUAAUCCAAAGAUAAGUAGCCGUGUUUUGUUAAACCAGAAAAGCAGACGAAGUGCCGUAGCCGUGGCUUCUUCCAAACUAGAACUAAGGGGACAAAUCAUUAGAAAUUACCAUGACAAUCCGUGAGGUCCAGUUUAGAAACUUCUUGAAGCAUAGAUUGGCGAUUGAGCAAAUGUUCAAUGGCACCUGGUGGAUCAAGAACAGUAACUUCUGGGUGUGUCUCCCUAUAUUCCUAUUAAAGUGAUGCAAAACAGUUAAUGAAAGUUUAAAAUGAUAAAAAGACAAAAUGGACAUGAAAUUUAAUUAAUCAUACAUUGAACAUGUCUCAAAGAUAUUGAACAUGUCUCGCAAAGAGAGUUCAACAGUGGUUAACAUAUUUUGUAUUACUGACCUCCAACCGCCGUUGCCACUCCUUUCCAGUCAACUGCAGAAAAUACAAUAUCAUCAUUUUGUUGUCAAUUAAGUGAAAAUGCACAAUAUCAUCAUUCUGUUGUCAAUUAAGUGAAAAUGCCAGACAACAACAAAGUAUCCAAAUAUUUAGGAAUCCAAAGACAUAAUAAAAUACGUGGAAAUAUUAAAUAUACUCUGUAUAGCUAACCUUAUGCAGGACAACAUCAAAAGGGCCUUGAUCUGACAGUGGAAGUUUUUGAUCAAUUGCAACAAAUUGAAUGCCUUUUUUCCUGGAAUACAAUGUAGAAGGAUGAGAAGCUACUAAUCUGGAAAGAAAUGCAUACUUCGGUUGCAAACAAAACAGAUAAUAAAUAGGUCUGCAGCACCAGUUGCCAAAUAGAAGCAAUUAGCAGCCAACCAACACAUGGCUUCAACACCUUGAUCCAGAUUCUAUAUUACAAUAUAAAAGCAUUUUUUUGCCUAUCUGCAUUAGCUCCAGAUUGUAAUUAUCUAUACGAACCCAGGCAGUAGUAAAUCAGCAGUAAAUUGUCUUGAAACAAAUGCUUACAGAUUAUAUUAUAAUGAAAGUUAAAUAAGCCAGAGGAACCCCAUUUAAUGAAUAUUAUGAAGGUCGACAUUGCUGAAUAUUUGUUCCACAAAAAAAAAUGUAAUAUUACAAUAUAAAGCUGAUGGGAGCAUUUAAAAAACCAUCCAGAUUACAGCAAUGGUGACCACAUCAUUAUUUUAAGUAACUGCAACUUCGUAUCAUGUGCAAAUUACAGCAAUGCCAUCUAACUGUCAGAUGGCAUUGCAGGUUGGAUUCCCCAAGAACAGCAAGAUUGUUUAGCUUCUUAUAUCAUGUUUACUUUGUUAUAUGCCUGGUAGGAUUAAGAAUACAAAGAGAAAUGUUCGUUUUGCCAGUAACUCAAAGUAUGAACAGCUAUUCUGACAGAUGAAUUCACAUUCUUAUUCAGGGAAAAAAACUUCUUUUAAGUGUGAACAGGAGAAUAAAAGGAAUUGCAUCAGUCCAAAGUCCAAACUAAGCAUUAGUGCUGUGCUGAUCUGCAUGCUUGCUUGCCAUAGCCAGGGGCACCAAGGGUAUGCAGUUUUUAUUCAUGCAUUGUAUAGAAAUGUUAACACUUAAGGAAACACAUAACUUUGACAUGGUGGCAUGGAACAUAAUCAUCAGGUUAGGCCAAAAGAGGAAUAAACAUAUUAAAUAAUGGAGGAAUUAUUUUAAUAACUUCUAUAUGGUGAAUAAGCUCAUGAGCAAAUAGGAAAAUUCUAUAUGGUUUUCUUAUCAAGCAAUAGGGGUCAUCAAAACUUUCUAGGCUUGAGAGGGGAGAUGCCAACACCUGAUUUCUAUGAUGAAGUGGAUCAUGGCAAGCACUAAAGUAAUCCACAUGUUAAAUCAUGUGAGUCCUUAAACUAUUGUCAGAACCUUAUCACGCCGUACCUACACUAUUAUGAUAUUCUGUGAUCCACAUCCUGCCCUGCUCUAACUGAUGUGUGAGCAGCAACAUACCUAACAGAAACACGAGAUUCUAGACGGAUAAAAUUGCACCCAGAGGAUGAUACAAGUUGUUGUCAAGUAAAAUAUCUUAGUAUACAACUAUAUAAACAUGUAAGUGCAAUUCGCAAAUUGAUGUCAUAUUUUAGAUCUCUGGUGUAUUGUGCCAGCUUGGAUUCCUGAAGUUGCUCCAAGUUUGGCCGCACGCUAUUGACAACACAGGCAGCCAAGCACAACAGAUAACUAUUAUGCUGUAAGGUUCCACAAAAUUACAUGAAAGAAGUAUAAACAGGGCAUUUCAGUGUGACCAUAUAGCUUCCUGGAUUAGUUCAGGAUAUACCUAAUUUAUGUUUAUUAGAUAAGUUAAGAAAGGGUCGCUAUUGGAAGAGAAUAUAAUACUAUCACACGGCAAGGAAUGCAUCGUGUCACUUUCUUAUCCCCAAAGAAAAUAGCAGCAAUACAAAGAUUUGGUUGGAUGUUAUAGACUUAUCGAUUCCAGUCAGUGCAGACAAUGAUUCUACAAAAUGAGGCGACUCCGAUAUUUCUAUUGAACAACUAUAUGAUUUAAGAUUAUCUGAAAUUGUUAAGUGAUUACUGAAACAGAUGUCAAGAAAGCCUCCAGUCCUCCACUAUUGCAGAAUAAACUAAAAGGCAACACCAUAGACAAAAAUAGACAAAUCAUAUCACGACACUAACCUCGUGGUCAGGAGUUUCAAUGUCAAGAAACCCUUUUUUGCCACCUUUUGAACUAUAACUUCACACAAUAAUCACACGUUUUCCCACUUAUAAUCCCAUGUAGCUAAAGUACCCCCGUUCUUGUUUUUUUUUUGCCUCAGCAGCUUGGUAACCUCUUUAACUCGGGGAUAUGUACCCAUAAUCUAAUCCAGUCAAGGACAGAGGUCAAUGGACGAGGUACCACUAACACAUUAAUAGUAUACAUUAUUCAGCAAGUCUUGAGUGAAUAGAAGGAUCAAGAAUUUCCGCUGAUCUUUCAGAACCUAUGCAACAUCUGGACAAGAUUUUUACUGUUCCAUCUAAAAUUCACACAAACAGACAACAAGGACAGAUUCAAAUGCUCUCCCUCAAUGCACGACAUCUUAUCAGUUUAACCUCCCUAAUUAUCUUAACCAAUCAGCACAUUUCAUCCAAAAUUUCUUUCUGUACCUUAACAUAAACGAAAAUCUACCCAGAACUUGAUCAGUACCUGGCGAGUCCUCGGAGCUUGGGCUGCAGGAAGCUCUUGGCCUUCUUAGACGUUAGAGCGUACCCCACCACCAACUCCCUCGCGGGCGCAGGUGCCUCCUCCACCGCUACCGCUACCGCUACCUCCGGCCCCGCUUCCCCCUCGGCCCCCACACACCCACCUGACACCAUCACCUCCCCCCACCAACACCGAACAAAUUAACCCUUAACUCAAAGCCGCGACGCGAACCGGAGGCCGCAACGGACGGCGGCGAGAUCGGAAUGCAGGGAGCGCACUCGGAGCCCUAAGCCUCGGGACCAAGCGGAGCCCGAGACAGGUGUGCGUGUGAGUGCGCGUCAGGACGACGGGUGGAGAGAGAAAGACAGAGAGAGAAGUGCAGAUGGGGGAGCCUGCGUAUAAGUAGGCGAAGGACGGGACACGGGAGCAAGUUUGCCUUUGGGACCUUGGAACCGAUUAAAACAAAUUACACUUUUGCCCUCUGUUCUGUUCUCCAUGCCCGUGCGCUGCCAUGGCCGACCAACAGAGAGGGAGAGCACCUUAACGAGAAACAAUUAUUCAAAUCAAACUACACUAUACACCGCAAAGGCGUACAUCUCUUAGCAUGGCCGGAGGGCAUGGGCGUCAACACUUCAGAAUUGUACCAUGUCAAGAGAAUACACAAAUCUCUGAAUGUAAUUUCAGAUAUCAGAAACAAUAUGUCAGAAUUCCAGUCUAGCGUGCAGCACCUAUCAUUUCAUCGCCUGCGCUGCAAGUGGACGUCGCUAGGUACUCAUCCCUCGCUCUUAAUCCAAAAGGAGGUAUGUGUUCAUCAUCGACACAUGCCUAGAUAGUUAUUAAGCUGCAAUAGGAUGCCUGGUGAUGCCACGCCCUUCGUCCAGGACAAAGUUGUUGUCGCUAAAGUGAGCGCUGGACAAGAACGGUUUCUGGUCAUAGAUUUUGAACUCCUGGGGCUAUAUUCGGCAGAGUAAAUAGAGGUCAAGAAAUGGAACUAAUGCCAAGGUGGCACCGUUUCUAGAGGAAGAAUCAUGAGCAAAAGUGUUUCCACCAGGCUAUCACCUUGUUCUUCAGGUCAUCCACUUUAACCUCAAUGUGAGUCAAGCGUGUGGUUGAUCCCGACACAAUUUGCUCAUAGUGCAAGGCGUCCUUCACCAGUGUGUGCAGGAGGAGCAGAAGCAGCUCGUUGUAACCCUUCUUGUAAGUCAUGUAUUUGUGGAAAUUCUGCACAGACAACAGAAGUUCGUUAAAAAUUUACAAGAACAUUGGCAAAAAGCUAGAGAGGUUUUUGCUUUGAACACAGGACCAAAAGUAUUGAGGCUUCCAAGGCAAUGCAAGGAUUGUCAUCUUCACUACCAGAACUCCAUUAGGUAACCUCAAUUAGGUUGGCAAACAAUAUAACAGUUCAAGCUCAACACUUAAUUUACUUUUUGAAGUGCUUUCUACACCAAAUUUCCUUAUAGCCUCUGAAUAUGACUUAACAAAUAAGUACAGUGGCCACACCAAACCUCCAAAUUCAUGAUUUACCACGACCUGAUUUACAUGAUCUCCCGCAGCUUUGUGCCCCUCCCCAUCAACACAACCUCGUCGUCUCCUUCUAGGUUACUUUUAGGGCCUGCACUGCCGACGCCAUCUCCUCACUACUGCACCCCACGGUCCUGUCAGGGUGGAUGGGAGAUAUAAUGGCAGCGGGGGGAGGAGCAGUGACAACCCUAGCAGGUGUGCCGACGACGCAAUGUAAUGUAGAGAUCCAACCAAGAAUCACUUAAAGGAUAUGAAAUUUGAGAUGAGGGACAGACCUGGGCAGAGAGGCACGCGCUGGCGGAAACCAGAGAAGCUGCGAUUUGGGCGGCACAGCAGGCAGCACGAGCGGUCGACGACAAGGGGAGGCGCUCGGCGGGUGCGCUCGGAAGCAGCUCGGGCAGGCGCCAGCUACGGGACGCGCACGAGGCAGAGAGGCGGGGACGGGAAGAGCUAGUUCGGCACACGCCCGGAGCGUGGUGGCCUCAUCCUCCGACGCUGCGGCGCGAGCGAGGACACCCCGCUCGGGUCAGCACUGGUCUUCUUGCUGCCGAUCACCUCCGCCGCCUCCCCCUCCGCGGCGGCGCUCUCCUCCACCUCCUCCGCCACCUCGUCGGCGUCCUCGAAGCUCAGCCUCGACGCCGUCACCUCCACGAGGCCGCCGUUCGCGUCACGGCGGCCGCUGCCCCUGCGUCGAUCCAUCUCGCUGGCUCUCUCGAAUCUUGCUUGAGUUUCAGCUUGCAGAUUAUAGUACUCCAUACCUUUUUUGAGUGUCAAAAGCAUGCAUAGAUAUGAAAUGGUUUUUUGUUUUUUGCGAAGAAAUGGUUGUUUACAUCCAAACAUUCUCAAUGCCAAAUGGUGCCCUAUAUCACAACAUCGAGGAAUCGGCAGAACACAUCUUGAUGUAUUGUUUCGUUUGUGCAGCAGAUUAGAAGAUCGUCGCAUAAUGAGUUACCUUUGCCAUAUUCUACCAAAUUUAGAAGCUUGAUAGUCAAAACCAUACAUGGAUCCACUCAUAGAUCGGCCUAAACCUUUCCAAGCACGGUAGGUUUUUUGCCUCUUCCGCACUCGCGCAUUGAGCCAUGUGCUUCCAAGGUGAUAAAGAGCACUUCAACACGAUCAAAGCACAAUCCCUACACUCCUCUUCUAAAGUUCUAGAAAUGAGGCAUCAACAUUAAGCUUUGUCCAACCUUCUAGAGGGGUGAACUAGUGUUGCACCGGUUUGCUCACAUGAACUUUGUUUUUUUUUGCAGGUAGAGAACUUUCAACUUUCUACACUCUCAAGUUUGUAAAGCCGUGAACUUUUAACAACUUUUUGAUUACUACUGCUAAAGAUUCGUCAGACGUGCACAUGAAAGCUUAUGAGGCCUCGAUCAAGGUUUUUCCCCUGCCAAAUAUGACAUUGUUACACAAAUACCAUGCUCUUCAAAAUAAGAAAAGGAGCUUGUCACAAAUGUGUAGGCUGGCUAUACUGAGCAUGAGCAAGCAAGAGUCUGGCCCUUGACCACGCAAAUUGUCCUCAGGCGACAACAGCGGACCGAGAUCCCUCCCGCGAUACUUUCACUUUGGGCACUCGGCACAUUACGUGCAUCUUAUACCAUUUUGUACAAAAUAAACAUGCGAAUGUGUCUUUGUCAAGCCUUUUCCCCUUGCAAAUGUCACGUGAGCACUGAGCACAUGAUAUUCGAAUGGUCAAAGUAACGAAUCAAAUGGGACAUAGUCAAAAAAAUACGGUGCUAUAUGUGAUUAAUUAGACAUAAAAACAUACUCCCUCCGUUACUUAAAUCAAGGCCUAUAUUGUUUCCUUUGACCAAAGAUUACUCCAUCAACAUGUGACUUAUGUGAUAUAAAUCAUAAUCAUAAACAAGUACUUUUGAAUGUGAAUCCAAUGAUAUCAAUUUUAUUUCAUAAAAAAUAUAUAUUAAUAGAUUAAAUCUUGGUCAAAGGCUCGGUCAAAGAAAACAAUAUACGUCCUAAUUUAAGAAACGGAGGGAGUAUUGCUUUGCUCAAAGACGUUGAGUAAGGCGUCGACGAGGGCUACAAUCUAUCCAAAAUUGGUAUGGAAACAUAAGAAUUAAAUGUUCCCGACCACAUAAUUUUACUUCAUAUGUAAGGUUUGGAUUUAUUUUUUCUCUCUUUACAUCCAUAAACUAAUGAAUUUUUAGCCUAUUUUUUUGCUUUAGUAUGCUGUCCUUUGAGCAACAUCUUUGGUUUUCACAGCCUCUGAAUUCUAAUCGAUGAGUAGAACUGUAGGAACUAGUAUGCCCGCGUCAGCUGCAUGGUUCGUUCUUGGGCACACAGGAGUCAGGACAAUGUGCUCCAUGUUGUAUGGAAGAGUUUCACGAGUACAGGGAAGGAAAAGAAAGCUGCCACGGAACAUGUUAUUUUGCUCCGAUCGAAAUUAAUUGUCACAACUUUAUCUAGAGGCAAUUACAUGCCGAUAUGCUUCUCUCCAAUUGCAAAUGAAAUCCAUAUCUAUGGGAGGUCGAUGCUAAUCCAUUCCAUACUUCUCAGUUAGAGUCUAUCACCAGCUAAUGGAAGUCGACCCGAACUGCAUGCAAGAGGAUCACGAUCCCUGGAAUUCCUCCCAAGUGGUCAUUUCAUAUGUAUUUUACUCUCUUCCGGUGCCAAUCCCUGCACCUCAAUCCAGCUUAAGGUAACCUUCUCCUGACGCACAUGUGACGUCGUGCGAGUGCCUCUCAUGCAUCGGUCACGGCCAGUUCAAGUUCCAUGGAGCCCUCCAGAGCCGCAGGGCAACAUACCAACAACAAGAGGGACAAAAGUGGUAGCGAGUUGCAGUAAUUUAAUCCCAGAGAGGAUGCUGCACGCACAAAAGUGAAGACGACUGCACAAAAUGACAUAACUUUUUAAUUCACGUGGACCUGUCGAUUGGUAUCGUAGUAAAGUUAUCUCAGAGGACGAGACAGCGGCGUACCGGCGUACCGUUUCAGAAAUCAGAAAAAUGUGAAAGACGGGCCAUUUUGGGUCCACGGAAAUGUCAUCGUUUCUCCAGAUAUGCAUGCGUAUGAACGACGAGGCAAAGCGACUGGAGAGAGGAGUUUUUCUGGACUCUGCCGUGGUCUGGACCAACAAACAUUGUAUAAGUCAGGGGCAGAACUGCACUAUAUCUAUUGGGUUUAGAUGAACCCAAUAAAUAUUGUCAAUUUCAACAGAAUUUGGACCAGAAACUACAUGUGAAUCCAAUACUUGGUUUUUCUGACUCCGCCACUGGUAUAAGUGGACCAGACCAAUGGACUUAAAACUUGUUGUCUUCUUGCAAACCUGUUUCGAUUAGCUUUAGGGUAGAACCACACCAAUAUAUAAUGCAUAAUCAUCGUGCGCACAGAACAGAACAGAGGCUGAGACAGGAAGAACAGUUGUUGCGCAACAAAUAUCUCGCUGCGUAGGCAGAUUUCGCUUGACCUCACCACACGUCCACGCCCACAGAAUGCCUAUCCGUCCGUCAUCUCUCUUUCUUUUGGAAGCGAGCUAUCAAGAAAGAUACAUAUCCACUCCCUGAAAAGAAGUUUUCGAGACGCAUUCCCGUGUCCUGUGGAUAGGAACGGAAUCAUGAGCAUGACGCCGAUGCAAAACUUGUUGCUUUGCUUAAAUUAUUUAAGUCACGCUAAUUAUCAAAGAAGUGCUCUCAAGCUCUGUGAACUGUAGCUGGAACCAACCAUGGAAAUAUUACCUCCGUUUCAUAAUUCUUAUUGAAAUAUUACAUAUAUCUAAAUGUUUUUAGGAAUAGAUACAUAUAUUUUUAUGCAAAUUUGACACAAGAAUUAUGAAACGGAGAGAGUACCGAGCUGUGGUCGGAGCCUGAGUCUGACAGACUGAAAUGCACUUCCUCUGUAGUCUGAGGCUGAGGGGGUCAGACAAUAUAGCCACUUGUCCAUGAGCCAGUGCCUGUUGCUGAAUUCUGUCAUGAAAUUAUCCCACGUGAUGGAAGUAUAGGCCAUCGUGAUUCGAGCGGCUCCAUCUUGAUCUUUUUUCCCAAACGUCGUAGUCUCCAGGAAUAUACAGACGCAAGGAAGAAAAGGACGUAGAGCAUUUAUUUACGACGUAAGGGCCGUCACGGCCGUGAGAGCCCAUUUACUAUCAUAUAGUUAAAAACUUUGAGCACAAGAAACAGCUAGGAAAAGCGCUGAUGUUUUCCAAUACCCCUUCCUCCGUUGCGCAGCACAACAAAUCUGACAGUUCUACAGAUGUACAGUUGGCCAACAGAGUGGGCCACCCAUCUACUGAGGAUUUGGUGCAGUGCAGUAGACCCACCAAAACUUAACGAUGCAUUCCAACCUAACAAGAACAAAGUUAAGAAACCACAUACUCUGACAUGCAAAUGGUGAGCAAGGGACAACAGUGUAGACAACCACAUAACAUGCAUAAUAACAAAGGUGCCAAGCAACCACAGGUCCUUACAACACAACAGGUUGUAAACCAACCAUCACAAAUCAAAUGUUUAGACAGACAGAUAACACCAGAUAAAGCCACUCAUGGCAGAUCACAGGAUAACAGCAAUAGCAGGCCUUGGGAUUGCAACAGGAUACAG
rnacentral:lncRNA from 1 species